AUUCCAUAAUGUGGACAUUUCCUUUGAAAAUCCUUAUAUCCCUCCCAUGCUUCAUAAAGACUCUCAUUAUCCCUUGGUUUGAAAGAAGUCAACUCAUUCCUCAGUUU